UUGUUCAGAUCAGCGGAGGAGUGAGGCAUCAAGCUGAUGUUAUAGGUCUUGUCUGGACCCCACAGGACCUGUCUGUGCUUUGUUACGUGUUCAGCUCAGCGCGGAGGAGUGAGCCAAUGAUUGGAUUUUGUAGGACCUGACUGGAUCUUACAAGACCUGACUGCAUCUUUCAAGACCUGACUUGACGAUACAAGAAGUGACUGUGGAUGA